rnacentral:rRNA from 1 species
UGUUAAAAAGCUCGUAGUUGGAUCAAGAGCUGGAGAGUGCACGGUGGCCCUUGUUGGUCGUUGGCUCCGGUCAUUCGGCUAGCUUGGGAUCAACCCCGUGCGCCAAACUCUCCACUCUAACAGGCCGAAACGGUUCCCUGUGAGUAGGCUCCUUCAUUGGGGUUGAAAGCGACUUCGCAUCAACCAUAUGCAUACGGGACGUCGGCCAAAGUUACUGUGAACAAACCAGCGUGUCCAAAACAGGCUUUCGCCUGAAUGUUCGAGCAUGGAAUAACAAGGGAUCGAUUCUCUCGGUUCUUUUUGUUGGUUUUUAACCCGAGAAGGAGUAAUUCAGGCCACGGUGUCUGAGCUGGGUUCCCCUGCACUUCGGUGUAGGCCCCAGUUAGGCCGUGUCCUUACGGGAUAAAUAGGGACUGACGGGGUCGUACGUACUUCCACGUCAGAGGUUAAAUUCUUAGAUCGUGGGAAGACGAACUUCUGCGAAAGCAUUCGACAAGAAUGUCCUCAUUAAUCAAGAACGAGAGUGUGGGGAUCGAAGAUGAUCAGAUACCGUCGUAGUCCACUGCUGUAAACAAUGCCGUCUCAGGAUUGAGAAGUAACUUAUUGACCUUCACAGCACUAACCCCUGAAACGAGAAAUCAAAGAU